GAUGAACGCUCGCGGCAGGCCUAACACAUGCAAGUCGAGGGAGAAGCCCUUUCGGGGGCAGAAACCGGCGCACGGGUGCGUAACGCGUAUGCAACCUACCUUUCACAGGGGGAUAGCCCGAAGAAAUUUGGAUUAAUACCCCAUAAUAUUAUUGGAUGGCAUCAUUUGAUAAUUAAAACUGCGGUGGUGAAAGAUGGGCAUGCGUCCUAUUAGCUAGUUGGAGUGGUAACGGCACCCCAAGGCUACGAUAGGUAGGGGUCCUGAGAGGGAGAUCCCCCACACUGGUACUGAGACAGGGACCAGACUCCUACGGGAGGCAGCAGUGAGGAAUAUUGGUCAAUGGUCGGAAGACUGAACCAGCCAUGUCGCGUGCAGGAAGAAUGCCUUAUGGGUUGUAAACUGCUUUUAUAUGGGAAGAAUAAGGCGUACGUGUACGUUGAUGACGGUACCAUAUGAAUAAGCAUCGGCUAACUCCGUG
rnacentral:rRNA from 1 species